rnacentral:miRNA from 1 species
AAGAGAAUUGUUUUAUC